rnacentral:rRNA from 1 species
CUGGCGGCGUGCCUAAUACAUGCAAGUCGAGCGGACAUCUUCGGANGUUAGCGGCGACGGUGAGUACACUGGCAAUCUGCCUGGCAGACUGGAAUAACAUCCGGAAACGGGUGCUAAUGCCGGAUAGGCAGCGAAGAGGCAUCUCUUUGCUGAGAAAGGUGCUACGGCACUACUGACAGAGGAGCCCGCGGCGCAUUAGCUAGUUGGUGGGGUAACGGCUCACCAAGGCGACGAUGCGUAGCCGACCUGAGAGGGUGACCGGCCACACUGGGACUGAGACACGGCCCAGACUCCUACGGGAGGCAGCAGUAGGGAAUCUUCCGCAAUGGGCGCAAGCCUGACGGAGCAACGCCGCGUGAGCGAAGAAGGCCUUCGGGUUGUAAAGCUCAGUCAUUCGGGAAGAGCGGGUAGGAGAGGGAAUGCUCCUGCCGAGACGGUACCGGAAGAGGAAGCCCCGGCUAACUACGUG